rnacentral:lncRNA from 1 species
GAAUGUGUCACUGUUUGUACAGGCAGUCUUGAGUUACAAACAUCCGGCUUACAAAUGACUCAUAGUUACAAAUAGGGAUGAGACAAUAGGAAGUGACAAAUCUAUCCCUAGGAAAGGACAUUUACUCCUAAAAGAGUUAUAAUGGGGAGAAGGUGUCUCAACUGAAGCUUUCUCACCAAUCCUUGUUUCCACAAAAAGCCAAUUUUUUCAAAAUUCAAUUAUCACAGGAUCGGCCAGGGCUUCUUGGCUGCUUCUCCUCGGGAGGCGAGGAAAGCCCACGCCUAGAGGAGAGCUGACAGGAAGGGGAAGGGAAGCCAGAAUGUUUUGAUUCUUUCUUGAGAUCUUGCAAAAGAAGUGAGAGCGGGGUUCUUGCUUGCUCCUCUCUUCCUUUUGCAUUCAUUCUUCAGCUGGCUGAGUUUCAGCGUUGCAAUAGCGCAGGUCCCACACUCUUCAGGGUGGCGGCGGGAAAGUGCUGAAGAGCAUACUGCCACACCAGCUGACAUCACUGCACAUGAUGGUGGACAGGUAGGAUCUCUAUUGUGGCUGGAGCCAGUCACAACACAAAGCUGUGCAUGCAGGAAAGUUAACAGCUCCAAUCAAUAUUUUCCUAGAUACUAAUCACCGGUGAUGGUCAACAGACAGCAUCUCCAAUGUAUUGCAACAAUUUGAACGAACAAAGAAACUACCCUGCUUUAUUGUUCGUGGUUAUCUGGGAGACACAGACAUUCAUCUAAUUAUGACAAAACAGAAACCUUUAAUUUGUACAGACCAGGAGUACUUUUAUUGCAGUCAGAAUCUGAACUGCCAGGUGAAUGUUUUCUUCAAGAAGGAAUCUGAACUUUUAUUACACACGUGGUUAGAUCCUGACUAGAGAGACAGUGUGGUGUAGUUUGAGUGUUGGACUAGGACACUGCGGAUCAGGCAGACACAACACAAAGAGAAAGAAACUGAUCAAGAGUGAGGAGGAAACAAACAAAACUGGGUAUUACUUUCAUGGUUAAAAUGUUCAGAAAGUCAUUGAAUUGGAAUCACAAUGCUUUCCAAUGAAACAGCAUUUAAUAUCAGAAGUGGGGAAGGUUUUUGUUUGAAUUUAGAUUUAUGCAUUGGAUAGGCACCUUGGUUCAGUUUCUAAUGGAGUCACCAGUUACAUUUAUCAUUCCUAGGCAAUUUUCAAAUUAGUAAAUUCACUGUUUUCACCUCAGUUAUCAUCUUUAUAAUGAAAUUCUAUAAAAAUGUAUUCAAACAUAAGCAGCACUGGACAUCAUGAUCUUGUUGUGCACCUUCAUGUAGUUUCUGAGUUGUGGUGACUCAUAAGGUGUACAUAUCAUGGAUUUUCUUGGCAAGACUUAUUUCAGAGGGAGCUUGCCUUUACCUUCCUCUGGGUGAUAAUGUGUAACUUGGUUAAAGACACCCUGUGGGUUUCCAUGGCUGAGUGAGGAUUUGAAUCCUGGUUUCCAG